rnacentral:lncRNA from 1 species
UUAAAAAAUAGAGAUCAGUUUAGAAAUCAACCAAGAACACCCAAAACGCCCAAAAUCUGAUACCAAAUGAUACGGGGUUGCGCGCGGACCAAGAUCGAGUUGCCAAGUCACGAGAAAUUCCUACGAAAACCCUAAACAAUUAGAUCUGAAACGAAACAGAAAAUUAAAAGAUUAGAUUUUUGAAUUUUCAGAUCUGAAAUAAAAUCCCCAAAACAGUAAAGAAUCAAAUUG